GGUAUAGAGUCGGUGACAAAACGACAGAGGAAGAAUAAAUCCUGAGGGUGAAUAUACGUCAAGUCAUCGUGGAUUUUCUUCCUUAUUCUGUAUCACAGAUUCCAUUUGAGCUGUGAGGGAUGGUGACACUGAGCCACGAGGAGUCGUCUCACUCCAAUCAAAUAGCCCUUCUGUUGAAGCAUGGUGUGUGAUUUUGGCUGCAAACAAACAAGUCACGGAGCCAAUCCGGCCUCCGAGACGUGCGGGAAUGCUUGGAUACGCUGAGUCAAUCCUCUGUUUCUGCAGCUUCUUACCUUUGUGACGCCAUCGCAGAAGGUUCUUUUGACCUUUCAACGUGCAUGGAUUUCCUGUCGUGGCUGCUGGUGUGAGGGUAUAGGACGUGUUACUACCCAUGUUGGUUCCGGUAUCUAACACACACACACACACACGGAAUAGAUGAACCUUCUGUUACCUGCGUUGUUUGUAGCCCUGAAAGAAAGUGCAUGGAGUUGUGACAUGACAAUGACUAGGGAAUACUUUACACUUUUUACAUUUGACACAAUGUUGUCAUUUUCACUGUUUACAUAAUUAUUUCAGCCUAAAAACGCAAUUUAUAUAUAAAUAGUUCUUUUGUAAACAUUCUGUGGGAAAUGUCAGGGCACAUGAUUACUGACGUAGUUCUUCAAGACCAAACUUUGUCUGUAAUAAAGUGUAUACUGUCCAGUUUAAUAUCAGGCUGACUUUUCCAUGAAAAUAUUUGUUUCUCUCCAAAAAUAUAUUUUUACCUAAGUGGGACAUGGUUAU